GUGUCAGCCGCCGCGGUAAAACGUAGGAGACAAACGUUAUCCGGAGUUACUGGGCGUAAAGGGCGUGCAGGCGGUCGACUAAGUCUGGCGUGAAAGCUCGCGGCUAAACCGCGAGAGGUCGUUGGAUACUGGUUGACUAGAGGACGGUAGAGGCGUGUGGAAUUCCGGGUGUAGUGGUGAAAUGCGUAGAGAUCCGGAGGAACACCAGUGGCGAAGGCGACACGCUGGGCCGUACCUGACGCUAAAACGCGACAGCAUGGGGAGCGAACGGGAUUAGAAACCCCCGUAGUCC
rnacentral:rRNA from 1 species